UACGUAGGGCGCAAGCGUUGUCCGGAAUUAUUGGGCGUAAAGAGCUCGUAGGCGGUCUGUCGCGUCUGUUGUGAAAACUCGAGGCUCAACCUCGGGCUUGCAGUGGGUACGGGCAGACUAGAGUGUGGUAGGGGAGACUGGAAUUCCUGGUGUAGCGGUGAAAUGCGCAGAUAUCAGGAGGAACACCGGUGGCGAAGGCGGGUCUCUGGGCCGAAAUUGACGCUGAGGAGCGAAAGCGUGGGGAGCAAACAGG
rnacentral:rRNA from 1 species